GAAUAAUAAUAUUAUAUUAUAUUAUAAUCUUAUAAUUCAUAAUAUAUUACUAUAUAUUAUAAUAUAUUACUACAUAUUAUAUUAUAUUACUACUAUAUGGUUUGGGGUAUUUUAGGAGCAAAAUAAAAAAGUUAUUUUUUCGACUAAUGAAAAAUGACUUUUCCACCUUUUAGGUGGGUAAGAUUUUCCUCACAUUUUAUAAGUAAAUGGUAUCCAUGAAAAAACCCUAGAGAAGCAUGAAAAUAUGGAUAAGUUGUUAAUGGAAAGUUGACCAUAAUUUUUACCUACCAAAGAGUGGCCCUUAUUAGAGGAAGAGGUUGGGAAAGGAAUAUUAUGAUGUGACUGGUUCGACCCAUUUUAAAGUCUAAGUUCGAAAAAACUAUUCCUAAGCAGAAGAAUGGUACCAUAAGGAAACUUAAUGAUGCCUUCAUGAUGCCCUUUCAAAAGGGCGAGGCAGCAAAUCUUACUAGGGAUGGCAAUAGGUUGGGGGUAUAGAUUGGGUAGGCUAUUACACAUACUUGUCUUGCAAUUGAGAACCAUGUACCUAUACACCCCUUGUACCCACCUCAGGGUGGGGUAAGGCAGGAUAGGUUGAGUUAGAUGAGAUGGGUUAGAUAUGUCAUGUUGAGUAAAAUUAUAAUUUUUUUACAUAUAAAUCU
rnacentral:lncRNA from 1 species